UAAUAUACUUUCAUUUACUUUUGAUCUUCUAUCUACUUACUUAUCUUCUGUACUUCCAUUUUUUUUUCAUUAUCACGCUAGUUUGUUUUGGUUGGAUAGAUGUGUACAUAUGGUGAUACUGUUAUGGACAUUCAGAUUAGGAAAUUUCAAAGCGUGGUUGUAACCUACAUGUGAUCCUCUGUCACCUUUAGUCUUCGGUGCUUGCACUGCAAUUUGGAUAUCCGGGCUUUGACAUAAAGGGUUUUUUGGUCUUGUCUAUGGCAUAUUUAGUUACAUGGGUGGUUUUGGCGUUCAUUGGAUCUGCACUUAACUGUUCCUUUCGUUCAAUUCUUGCAGCCAAUGAACUUCAGGGCAGUGUAUUUUUCAUUUCAUUAAGCGAUCGUGUUUUAUCUGUUUGUGUUGAGGUUUCUUUAGUAGAGUCUUUUAUGAGUAUUGUGAUUUUUGAUUCAGUUCUCUUUCCUUAUGGAUACCUUUUCUCUGUCAAAACUAUUGUUGUAUGGAUGAUUUUUUGACUAAGAUAAUAUUUUCUUAGAAGUGUGUAUUGUGUUCUGCUGCCAUGAGGAUUUUAAUCCAGACACUUUGUUCUUCAAUGAUCCAACUGAAGAGUUCUCUCCUCAUUAUGGUUAUAUUUGCUUGAUAAGUACUCGGUUUGUGGAUUUAUCUCUCCAUAAAGUGCUGCUCUACUUCUGGUCCUCUUGCUAGAUAUAUUCUUUGCUGCCAUUUUUUGUUGGAUGGGUGCGUAGACUAUAUGGUGAAAAUAAUAGAGGUUAGGAUUUGGAGAUUUCAAAGGUUGACAUGCCGUAUAGUAUCGUUGUACCCUCUUAGUCUUUUUGGUUCUUGCACUGCAAUAUGGAUGUAUUGGUCAGGGCUUCAACAAAGAAGGGUUUUUAAAUCUUGUCUAAAUCUCAUAUCUAGUGAUUUCUUAGUUGGUGUUGGUUUCGUCAACUUUGGUUUUUAUUGCACCUUUCUUUUUGUGCUUGCAGCCAUUGGGUCUUAGAUAGCAGCGAAUUAUUUGCUUCAUAAAGCAGCUUAGUUUGUCCGUAUUUGUUGAGGUUGCCUUAGUUCAGACUUUUAUGACUACUCAGAUUUUCAUCUGAAGAUAGUUUUUGUUUUUUCGCUAGUAUGUGUCAUAUUCUACUGUCAUUUUUGUUUUUUGUCCAGAUGCUUCUUUUCUUUAAUUAUCCAACUGUGAGACUCCAGAUGGUUGAUGAUUCUGGUCUUAUGGACACCUGACAAGAUCUCUUGGAUCUACUGAAAGCUCAUAAACGGUGGUGUUUUUGCUUUUCAUUUUCUCUGCUUUCUUUUUCUUGUAAAACGUCAGCUUGAUUUUGUUUGUGGGAUGGAUGUAUGGUGUAAGUUGAGGGGAUUAGACUUGUUGAAGAAUUUUGAAGGUUGGUGUAUAGUGUGCAUACCGUGCACCCUAUUUUUGGCUAUAUUUGUGCAUGCACCACAAUCUUCGUAAUAUCAGAGGCUUUGAAAGAACGGUUCUCAAUCUUGUCUUGCAUUACUAGUGGUUUCUAGGUGGUUAGGCUUCACCAGCUUUGCACUUAAACUAUUCCAUUCUUUCUGUGCUUGCAGCCGUUGGGUCUUUUCGAGCUGUAUAUUCUUCUUUUCAUGGAGGCCUUGUCUGCCGAUUUAUGUUGAGGUUUCUUUUGUCAAUUUGUGUUGAGGUUUUUUUUGUCAACGCUUUAAUGAUUAUUGAGAUCUUUAAUUCAGUUUCCUUCCGUAAUCAGAAUGGUUCCUUUUUCUCUUUGUCAACAUUGCUUCACUAUCUGUUGCAUAUUUUGUUGCCAUUUUUUAAAGUAAUCCAGAUGCUUAUGCUUGUUGGUGAUCCAACUGAUGAGAUGUCCAUGGUUAUGGACAGUCGAUGAAUGUAUUCAGAAUCAGAUGGAUCUUUUGAUAGCCCUGUAACACCUUUACUUUCAUGUUGUCGCUGCUUACCUUCUUUGCUUUCAUUUAGCCUACUAGUUGAUUUAGUUUGGUUGGAUGAAUGUUUGUAGGUCACAUGGUGGUGAUAUGAUGAUAGUAGGAGGAUAGAUUAAAUUUUGUAGUUUGGUUUUGAUGUGCAUCCCUGUGAAUCCUGUUUCUUGCCAUUCUGGUGCUUGAACUGUAAUCUGGAUGAUAGGAUAUAACAGACACUUUAAGAAAUGGGCGCUUUGCAAUGUUAUAUUGUUUUGCAUCUCUAGUGGUCUUGCUGCGUGGUAUGAGUUUCCCAUGUUUUUCACCGACUUGUUAUGUUAUUUUUGUGCAUGUUAUCUGUGGGAUUUUUUACAGAAUGAACUUAAGUUCAGUUAGACCCUUUCCUCUUUGUUAAAACUACUGUUGUGUGGAAGUCCUCCACAAUGGUAAUAUUUCCCAUCAAUGUGUGUUUACUCUGCUUUCCAGCUGUUGUGUCACCCCAUCUUGAUUUCAUUUGUUGGAUGGAUGGCAGUUAACAGGAUAAGAUUUGGGAAGUUCCAAAGGUUGAAUGCCCAGAGUCCAUUCCUGUGCAUCCUGUUUUUUUGCCUAUUUCCAUGCUUGCACUGCAAUCUGAAUAUACCAGGCUUGUUUGAGGGGGUUUCCAAUUUUGUUUCUUUGCCAUUUUUGUGAUUCUACUGUAAUCUGAAAAUUAACAGGCUUUGAGAGGGUUUUUUCGAUCUUUUCUGGCAUUUUACAGUGGGUUUCGUAACUCUUCCCUUUGUUCCUUUGGUUGCAGCCAUUGGGUCUCACAAAGCAGUGGAUUUUUCUUCUCAUGGAGUGCCCUUAUUUGUACAUAUGUGUUGUUGAGGUUUCUUUUAAGUAUUUUAUGAGUAUGAUAGUUUUCAAUUUAAGUUCUUUUUCUCUAAUGACUGCUUUGUCUUUUCAAAACUAUUGUUAUGUGAAGUUUCUCAAUUAGGACAUUAUUUUUCACCAGUGUAUUGUGUUCCGCUGCCAUUAAGUUCUUAGUCCGACGCAUGUGUCUUAGAUGAUCCAAUUGAUGAGGUCUCUUGUGGUGAUGAUGAAGUCUCUUAUGGCUAUGGACAACUGAUAAGUACUCGGCCAAUUGUGGAUAUUCCGAUCGUGGCGUAAAAUACUUUGUUUCUUUUGUUUUUCUAGCUACUUAUCUUCUCUGCUUCCAUUUUUUCUGUUAUCACACUAGUUUUAUUGGUUUGAUGGAUGUGUAGACCAUAUGGUGAUACUGUUAUGCAUGUUCAGGUUUGGAAAUUUCAAAGCUUGGUUAACCAACAUGCUAUCCUCGACCACCUUUUGGAAUUUUUGUGCUUGCACUGCAAUCUUGAUAUUACUGGGCUUUGACAGAAGGGGGUAUUCGGUCUCGUCUAUGGCAUAUCUAGUCAUCAUUUUGGGUUGUCCGGGGUUUGUAAUAUUUGCACUUAACUGUUGCUUUCUUUCUGUUCUUGCAGCCAUUGUCUAGUGAAUUAUUCUUUUCAUGAAGCAGCCGUGUUUUUCCAUUUGUGUUGAGGUUUCUUUAGUUAAGUCUUUUAUGAGUACUGCAAUAUUUGAUUCCUGUAUGGCUCCUCUUUCUCUUGCAAAACUAUUGUUGUAUGAAAGACUCAGUUUCUCAACUAAGAUAAUAUUUUUCACAGUGUAUGCUGUGUUCUGCUACCAUGAGGUUUUGCCAGUAAGUACUUGGUCAAUUCUGGAUAUUACUUUUUGUCAGCGCCAUAAAGUGCUCCUCCAUUUCUGGUCAUCUAGCUACAUAUGUUCUGUCCUGCCCUUUUCUUUUAGUUGUCACAACUUCUUAUUUUUGAUGGAUGGAUGUGUAGACUAUAAAGGACAUAGUUGACAAUUCGAAGUUACACAUUAUCCCUUUCCUGCAAUAGAUCUGGUGGGAAAAAAGGUUCCUAAAUUUUUACCGUUUGUUAUUUCAUAUGUGACGAUAGGUCAAACUAUAUUGUGGCAUUAUUAGAGGUUAACAGUUUGGAGAUUUCAAAGGUUAAUGUCCAGUAUGGUAUCGCUGUACCCUCUUGGUAUUUUUGGUUCUUGCACUGUAAUCUGGAUGUACUCUUAGUGAUUUCUUAGGCGGUAAGGGUUUUGUCAGUUUUGGACUGAUUGUACCCUUCUUUUUGUUCUUGCAGCCAUUGGGUCUUACAGAGCAGUAACUCUUUUGAUGGAGAGGCUUUCUCUGUCAGUUUAUGUCGAGGUUUCAUGGUUCAGGCUUGUAUGAGUACUGAGAUUUGCAACUAUUCUUUUUUUCAACUAGUGUGUCGUAUUCUAUCGUCAUUUUUUCUUUCUGUUUAGAUGCCUAUUUUCUUCAAUUAUCCAAGCUGAUGAGAUACCUGAUGGUUGAUGGUUAUGGUCUUGUAGACACAUAACAAGUACCCAAUUUUGGAUCUUUUGUUUGCUAUUGGUGUUUGGUUGAUCAGGUCUAGAAAUUGGAAGCUGGUAAGGCCUAUUCUGGAUGCAGUUUUGGGAAAUCGAGUAUUGCUUCCUGGUUUUGGAAAAUUCUGAGAAUAUGAGUAGAAGUGGGAAUUUGGAUCUUGAGAUGAACGAGUCCCAUCGUCUCAUCGUCAUAACAUAUAGAGAGGAGCUGUCAGUUUGGAUUUGAUAUCUUGACUUCCAUUUUUAAUGCUAAUAUUGAUGCCUAUCAUGUUUCUCCUCGCUCAACUUAUUUGGUUUGGUCAUCACUGGAUGUCAUUCUUACCUGUCAAGAAUACAUGGAUUUGCAUCUAGGUGCAAGUGGUUCUACAGUAGAGAUGUCUUGCUUUGGUAUUCGUCCUUGGAAAGAUGCAGCAGUACCCAGUUAGGUCUAACCGAGCAGUGAAUUAUCCUUUUCAUGGAGGGGAUUUGUUUAGACAUUUGUAUUGAGGUUCUUCUACUUCAGGUUUUGUGAGUACUGUGAUUCACAUUUCAAUUUUCUUCCCAAAUCGGAGUGGUCCCUCCUCUCUUUGUCAAAAAAUGUUGUUAUAUGGAAGUCCCUAGUUAAAUUAGUUUUUCUUGCACUAGCGUGUGUUGUAUUCUGCUGCCGUUUUUAGUUUGUAGGUCAAAUGUUUGUGUUCUUCGGUGAUCCAAUUGAUGAGAUACCGAGAUCCCUGGUUGGUUGAUGGGUAUAUGGUCUUAUUGACACUUGAUAAGUAAUCAAAACUCAAUCCUAUAUCGCUUGACAUCCCCAUCAUGUGGGUCCGUUCUCUGCUUCCUGUUUGUUGUAUCACCCCAGCUUGAUUUUGUUUGUUUGGUAGAUGACAGUCGAGGAUUAGAUUUGGAAAAUUUCAUAGGUAGAUGCCCAGUGUCCAUUCUUGUGCAAGCUGUUUCUCUGUCAUUUCUGUGCUGGCACUACAAUCUGAAUAUUGUUAGGCGAGAUAGAGGAGUUUCUCAAUCUUGAUUCUUUGCCAGUUUUGUGGUUGCACCACAAUGUGGAUAUUAUUAGGCUACGAGAGGGGUUUUUCAAUCUUGUCUUGCAUUUUCUAGUGGGUAUCGUAUGCUUUGCAAGAAAUUCUUCCCUUCAUUCCUUUGCUUGCAGCCAUUGGGUCUUACAGAGCAGUGGAUUCUUCUUUUCAUGGAGUGAUAUUGUUUGUCCAUAUUAGUUGAGGCCUUUCUUGUUCAGUCUUUUAUAGGUAUUGGUCAUUCUUAAUUCAGUUUUCUUCCCUUAUGGCUCCUCUUAUCUUUGUCAAAACUACUAUUGUAUGGGAGUUUCUCUGUCAGGAUAUUAUUUUUGACCAGUGUGUUGUAUUUUUCUGCUGCCAUUAAGUUCUUAGUUCAGAAGCAUAUGCUCUUCGAUGAUCCAUGUUGUGAGGUGUCCUAUGGUGAUGAGGUCUUUUGUGUGGGCACCUGAAUUAGUACUCGGCCAAUCCUAGAUCUUUUAUCAGUGAUGUAAAUAACUUCUUUAAUUUUGUUCUUCUAGCUACUUAUUAUCUCUUUUCUUCCUUUUUUUUUUACAUUAUCAUGAUAGUUUGUUUUGGUUGAAUAGUUGUGUAGCCAUAUGGUGGUGUUACUGUUAUGGACAUUCAGAUUUGGAAAUUUCAAAGCCUGGUUAUAAUCAACAUGUGAUCCUCUGUCACCUUUUGGUCUUUGGUGCUUGCACUACUGAAAUAAGGGUGUUUUAAGUCUGUCUAUGGCAUAUUUAGUGAUUACAUGGGUGGUUUUGGGGUUUGUCAGAUUUUCACUUUACUGUUCCUUUCUUUCAGUUCUUGCAGCCAUUGAACCACAGGGUAGUGAAUUAUUAUUUUCAUGAAGAAGCCAUGUUUAUCCGUUGUGUUGAGGUUUCUUUAGUAAGAGUCUUUUAUGAGUAUUGAGAUUUUUGAUUCAGUUUUCUUUCCUUAUGGGUCCCUUUUCUCUGUCAAAACUAUUGCCGUAUGGAUGUUCUUUUGACUAAGAUAUUAUUUUCUUACAAGUGUGUAUAAUGUUCUGCUGCCGUGGAGAUUUUAAUCCAGACACUUUGUUCUUCAAUGAUCCAACUGAUGAGUUCCCUCCUCAUUAUGGUUAUAGUCACUUGAUAAGUACUUGGCUUGUGGAUCUAUAUUUUAAUAAAGUGCUGCUCUACUUCUGGUCUUCCAACUACAUAUAUUUUUUGCUGCCAAUUUUUUGUUGGAUGGAUGUGUAGACUAUAAUGUGACAAUAUUAGAGGUUAAGAUUGGGAGAUUUAUAACUUUAACGUUAUCAAAAAAAGAUUGGGAGAUUUGUAAGGUUGAUAUCCAGUAUCGUAUCUCUGUGCCCUCUCGGUCUUUUUAGUUCUUGCACUGCAAUCUGGAUAUAUCAUAGGGGUUUCAAUGAAUAAGGGUUCUUUAAUCUUGUCUAUGUGGCAUCUCUAGUGAUUUCUUUGGUGGUGUGGGUUUUCGUCAACUUUGAAGUUGAUUGUAACCUUUGUUUUGUGUUUACAACCAUUGGGUCUUAAAGAGCAGUGAAUUAAAAGCCACUUGUCCAUUCAUGUCGAGGUUGCCUUAGUUAAGGCUUUUAUGAGUACUGGGAUUACAACUAAAAUAGUUGAUGGUUAAUGGUUAUGGUCUUAUGGACACCUGAUAACUACUCACUACCUAAGUUGCGCAGAUUCUUCACUUCGAUGCCCUCACCCAUGCCGGAUUCCAAGAAACACUACUUUUGGCGAAUCCGACAUGCACCCGUUGACAUUUUUGAAGAGUCUGAGCAACAUAGCUCACUGCUCACUUUCUCUGCUUCCUCUUUCUAGUAUUACGCCAACUUGAUUUUGUUUGUUGGGUGGAUAUAUGGUGAAAGUUGAGGGGAUUAGGCUUGGAGGAUUUUGAAGGUUGGUGUACAGUUUUGCAUAGUCUGCACCCUAUUUCUUGGCCAUGUUAGUGCACACACUACAAUCUAGAUACUGUCGGAGGAUUCAGAAGAAGGCGGUUCUCUAUCUUUUAUGGUAUUUCUUGUGAAUCCUUGGUGGUAAAGGCUUCACUAGUUUUGCACUUAACUGUUCCAAUUUUUCUGUGCUUGCAACCGUUGGGUGCAUAGCCGUAGAUUCUUCUUUUCAUGUGGUGGCCUUGUCUGUCAAUUGUGUUGAGGUUUUUGGUUGUUGCUUUAAUGAUGAUUGAGAUCUUCAAUUCAGUUUUCUUCCACCAUCAGAAUGGUUACCUUUUCUCUUUGUCAAUACUGCUUCACUAGUGUGUAUUUUGUUGCCGUUUUUUAUGUAAUCCAGAUGCUUAUGUUUUUUGGUGAUUUUAACUGAUAAGAACUCCAUGGUUUGUGGAUGCUUGAUAAGUGUAUUCAAACUCAGUCUUGGAUUUUUGAUUGCUCUGUAACGCGCUCUACUUUUGUGUUCUCGCUGCUUAACUUCUCUACUUUCAUUUAGCUUACCAGUUUAUUUAGUUCUGGUUGAAUGAAUGUUUGUAGGCCACAUGGUGGUGAUAUGAUAGAAAGAGGAUAAGAUUUGUAAAUUUUGUGGUUUGGUUUCGAUGUGCGUCCCUGGGGACCCUAUUUCUUUCCAUCUGGUGCUUGCACUGCAAUCUGGAUGAUUGGGAAUCACAAGGCUUCAAGUAAUGGGAACUUUGUUAUUAAAGGAUUCGGUGAGUGAAGAUAAAAUCGGAUAAAGCUGAAUAUGUUGCAUUGUUUGGCAUCUCUAGUGAUCUCUCGGCACAGUAUGAAUUUACCAUGUUUUUAACUUGUUUCGUUCUUUUUGUGCAUGUAACCAUUGGGUCUUUCAAAGAAUGAACUUUUGUUCAGGUUUUCCUUAAUCAGCAUGUCCCUUUUCUCUGACUCUUUGUCAGAACUACUGUUGUGUGGAAGUUGCAAACAAUGGUAAUAUUUUCAACUAGUGUGUGUUGUACCCUGCUUCCCGUUUGUUGUACCCCAGCUUGAUUUUGUUUGGAUGGAUGGCAGUUAAGAGGAUUAGAUUGGGAAGUUCUGAAGGUUGUUGUCCACUGUUCAUUGCCCACCCGAUUUCUUUGCCAUUUCUUUUUUUUUUUGAUGAAGAUUUCUUUGGCAUUUCGGUGCUUGCACUUCAUUAUGAUAUUCUUCAUUAUGAUAUUAUCAGGCUUCGACAGAUGAGGUCUCUUAUGGUUAUAGACACCUGAUAAGUACUCUGUCAAUAUUGGAUCUUAUAUUUUGACUGCGCCAUUAAGUGCUCCUGUACUUCUGGUUUCUAGAUAUAUAUGUUUUUUCCUGCCAUUUUUUUUUGGUUGUCGCAACUUUUUAUUUUUGUUGGAUGGCUGUGUAGACUAUAUGGUGGCAGUGUAGAGGUUAAAGAUUUAGAGAUUCCAAAGGUUGAUGUCCAGUAUGCUAUCUCUAUACCCUGUUAGUCUUUGUGGUUCUUGCUAUGCAAUCUGAUCUGUACCCUCUUGGCAUCUCUAGUGAUUUCUUAGGAUGUAUUGGUUCUGUCAGUUUGGACUUGAUUGUACCCUUCUUUUUGUGCUUGCAGCCAUUGGGUCUUAUAGAGCAGUAGAAUAUUCUUUUGAUGGAGCGUCUUUGUUUGUCCAAUUUAUGUCGAGGUUUUUAUGGUUCAGGCUCUUAUGAAGACUAAGAUUUUCAACUAAAUAAUUUUUCUUUUGUCAAAUUCUUAUGGUCGUUUUCAUUUUUCAGUUCAGAUGCUUAUUUUCUUCAAUUAUCCAAUUGAUGAGUUUUCUGAUGGUUAUGGUCUUGUGGACACCCAAUAAGUACUCAAUUUUGGAUCUUUCUCAAGCCUCAUAAAAUGGUCUUCUCUUUUGUUGUUCUCGUUGCUCGCUGCUCAUAUUCUCUACUUCCUUUUACUUGUAUUACGCAAUCUUGAAUUUGUUUGUUGGAUGGAUGUAUGGUGACAGUUGAGGGGAUUAAUCGGGAAGGUUUUGAUGGUUGGUGUACUGCAUUCCUCUGCAUCAUGUUUGUUGUCCAUGUUGUGCUUGCACUAUAAUCUGGAUAUUAUCAAGAGGCUUCGGAAGGAGGCGGUUCUCAAUCUUGUCUUGGUAUUUCUAGUAAAUUCUAGGCAGCGUGCUUCACCAGCUUCGCACUUAACUGUUCCAUUCUUUCUGUGCUUGCAGUCACUGGGUCUUACAGAGCCGUAGAUUCUUCUUUUCAUGCAGCGGCCUUGUCCAUCAAUUUAUGUUAAGAGUUUUCUUGGUUUAUGCUUUUAAUAAUCAUUGAGAUUUUCAAUUCAGUUUCUUCCGUAAUAAGAAUUGUUCCUUCGCUGUUUCUCAGCCUUACUUCACUAGUAUUUGCAUUUUGUUGCCAUAUUUUUUCUUUCAUGUAAUCCAGAUGCGACUGAUGAGAUUUUGAUGGUUAUGGACAUUUGAUAAAUGUGUUCAAAUUUGGUUCUUUUGAUGGCCAUAUAAUGCAGUCCUCUACUUUCGUGAUCUCGCUACUUACCAUCUCUGUGUUCGUUUAUCCUACCAGUUGAUUUAGUUUGGAUUGAUGAAUGAAUGUUUUCCACAUGGUGAUAUGAUGGUGAAGAGGAUUCACUUUCGUGAUAUCACCAUGCUCCAAGAAGAGGGCAGUUUGAAAUGUUACAUUGUUUGGCAUCUCCCCUGCGUGGUAUGGGUUUCCCAUGUUUUGCACUUGCCUGUUUCUUUCUUCUUGUGCAUAUAACUGUUGGAUCUUCCUAAGAAUAAACUAAAUUCAGUUUUCUUCUUAAUAAGUGAGUCCCUUUUCUCUUUUCAAAACUACUGUUGUGGAAGCUCUCAACAUUCAGCAAUGAUAAUAUUUUCCACUAGUGCGUGUGUGUUUUGUAGUCUGAAGCUGUGAAGUUUCUAGUCUUGAUGCUAAUUUUCUUGGAUGAUCGAACUGAUGAGAUCCCUGAUUGGUAUGGACACCUGAGAGGUACCAUUUUAGGUUUUCAUAUGGACCUAAGAUCUCUUCUACUUUGGUUUGUUCUUGCUACUUAUCUUCUCUGCUCCUGUUUUUCCACUUGAUUUUGUUUGUUCGGAUGCAUAUGUGUAGACCAUAUGGUGAUAAUGAGGGGAUCAGAUUUGGUAGUCUCGUAGUUCGGUUUCAGUGUGUAUCCUUGUGCACCCUGCUUCUUUGCCAUUUUGGUACUUGCACUGCAAUUUGGAUAUCAUCAGGCACCGAGGGAAGGGAGUUUUGCAAUCUUUCUUGGCAUCUCUAGUGAUCUCUUCUAAUGUGGCGUGGGUUUCACGGCUUUGCACUCGACUGUUCCCUUCUUUUUGUGCUAGCUGUCGUUGGGUCUUUCUAGAUCAGUGAAGUCUUACUUUCAUGGAGCAACCUUGUUUGUCAAUUAGCGUUGAGGUUUCCUUAGACAGGCUUUAUUAGUAUCUAUCUUUUCGGUUCAGUUUUCUUCUUGGUUCAUAGAGAUUCCUUAUCUCGUUGUCAGAAAUGCUGUUAUACAGAAGUUCUCAAGUAGGACAAUUCUUUCCACAAGUGCAUUUUCAACUUUUGGUCCAGAUGCUUAUGUUUGCUGUGAUUCAACUGAUGAGGUUUCUUAUGGGUGUGGUCUUGUGGACAUUUGGUAAGUAAGUUCUCGGUAAAUUAUGGAUCUUUCCAUAAUCUUGUGAAAUGCUCAUCUACCUCCGGUGUCUUGCUUCUUACCUUCUUUGUUUUCAUUUUCUUUUUGCUUAUCACUCCACUUUCUGUUGUCUGUUGGAAGGAUGUAUAUACUACAUAGCAAACAGUAUUGGAGGAUAGUAGGAUCUACACCAUACAUAGUGAACAGUAUGGGGGAUUAGACUUUUAGUUUGUGAAGGCAAGUGUUUAGUUAACUGGUCAUUUAGGUGGUUGCACACCAAUCUAGAUAUUGUUAGUGCUUCGAGAAAAAGGGGGUAUCUAAAUAUUGUCUACGUCUUUUGUAUUGACUUCCAUAGUGGUUUGGGUUUUGCGAGUUUGCACUGUUCCUUCUUUCUGUGUUUGCAGUUGUGGUCUUGAAGAAGUAAAAUUCUUCUUUCCGUGGGGCUGCUUUUGUUUGUGAUUUAUGUUGAGGUUCCAUUUGGUUCAAGCUCCUGCGAGUGCCGAAUUUUCAAUAUUCAGUCAUUUGAGGAGUUGCUUCAAACGGUCAGCUACUAUGUAAAACUUUAACGUAAAAAGAGAGAUCUUUCACACUUUUUUCUCCGUGAAACAUUUACAUUUGAACAGUCUUUGCAUCAAAGAGCUAGCGGCAAUUUAUUGGAUCUAGAGCAGUCAAGUAAAAAACUUAGCUCAUCUUUUGUGCAAAAGGUCAUAUAUUCAAUACAAAGGUAACUAUUUUUUUCUGUGUAAAAGAUCUUCUCAUGAAAUAUACCAUUAUAAAUCCAUCACAUAUCAGAUCACCGUGCAAGUUGGGAAUUUUUUUAACAAAUCUUGUUCUUCUAAAUAGUCUUCCAAGUUAACUAAUUUUCUUAAUAUGGUGGAAAUCACCAUUGAUUAUAGCGCUAACCUUUGAUCUGUUUUUCUUUGUGUUGUUUUAUAUCAUUGGUGUAUGUUGAGUGAAAUGUCACUUCAGACGGUAUGUUUUGUAAAAUGUCGAAAAAAAAUGAAAAGAAGUUUUUUUAAAAAUGUUACUUACCAGAUAGUCUAUUCAGCAAAUAGACACUUCACAGAUUAGUCACUGAUGGUUUCAUCACUUUGUUCCCCUCAUGUUCUACUACCAUCUAUAGUUCAUUUUUUAUUUCAGAAAUUGUUCCUUGCUCCUUGGGUUUCUUGUGUUGGUGAUUGAGUAGGAACCUUGCACAAGUAAAUGGGAUCUUCUAUGAAGCCCGCUUCAGAUCGAGUUGUGACAGUCAUGAAAAAUGCUGCUGUCUUUUCCUUCAUUCAUAGAGCAUAACUCUUCAUUCACAUGUUGCACUUCACGUUUGGCUGUUAUACGUUGGACAUCGUAUGAUAUAGAGCACUGUGCUUUAAUUUCUUGGUUGUAUCAUUAGGAAACAACAUUUUGGUGAAGAGGGUUCCAACUAUGAUUUGAGUUGCAGGUUCUUAGGAGUUCUUUUGGAAUUCUUUUGUGAGUCAGGUUUCGGUUAAAACCUAUCUUCUUUCUUCCCCGUACCCUAACGGCGGUAGAGCUGGCAGCGUCUUUCUGAUGGUUAGAGGUGUUUGAUGGUGGCUGCAUGUGUGCAAGAAUUUAUUCAGGUCUUGCAUAAUAUGAUAAUGAGAAUGUCUGGUGAUUUUGAUUAUAUCUCUGUACUUUUUUGAAUCUGGUAACAUGUAUGUAUAUAUAUAUAUAUAUAUAUAU